rnacentral:lncRNA from 1 species
GAUCACUUGGGAGAUUCGAAACAAGAAUAUUCAUCUGUUGGUCGAUCCAGACAAUAUUCUGUAAAACUGCAGCCAAUCCAGUAAAAAAAUAUUUUAUCUUUCUAUCCCAUCUGAUUCUCUCUGUAUCGUAGUUUGGAGCACUCUAAGAGUGCAGAUAAUCUUGUCUAGCUGAUAUUGUAUAUCUGUAUGAUACGAAUAUCUCUUUAAUUCUUCGAUACGACAGAUCAAAUUACGAAUGUCCUAUCUUAUGUUCUGCACCGCUGAAAUAAGAUUAUCCAAUUUUUGCUCGAACGAAAAACUAUAUAUGUCACUAGGAUCCAUACGUGUAGUACUCUCUCCUGAAGAUGAGGACUGAAGAAUAAAAGCAACCUCCUGAGUGAUUGCACUGACCAUAUCUGGAGUCAUCCUAACUUGAUCAACAUGCUCCAUACGCUUUGUAGGUCU